CUACGGGUUGCUGCAGUGAGGAAUAUUGCACAAUGGGGGGAACCCUGAUGCAGCAACGCCGCGUGGAGGAUGACGCAUUUCGGUGUGUAAACUCCUUUUAUAUGUCAAGAAAAUGACGGUAGCAUAUGAAUAAGCACCGGCUAACUCCGUGCCAGCAGCCGCGGUAAUACGGAGGGGCAAGCGUUACUCGGAAUCACUGGGCGUAAAGGACGCGUAGGCGGGCUUGUAAGUCAGGUGUGAAAUCCUACAGCUUAACUGUAGAACUGCACUUGAAACUACGAGCCUAGAGUAUGGGAGGGGCAGAUGGAAUUAGUGGUGUAGGGGUAAAAUCCGUAGAUAUCACUAGGAAUACCUAAAGCGAAGGCGAUCUCCUGGAACAUUACUGACGCUAAGGCGUGAAAGCGUGGGGAGCAAACAGGAUUAGAUACCCUCGUAGUC
rnacentral:rRNA from 1 species